UGAGUUCUAAACUCCAAACCUUUGUGAACAUACCAUUGUUGCUUCGGCGGGUUCGUCCCGGGCGCGCCUUCUGGCGUGACCCGGAAUCAGGCGCCCGCCGGGGGAUCUAAACUCUUGUUUUCUAGAGAUUAUCUGAGUGGCGUAAGCAAAUAAAUCAAAACUUUCAGCAACGGAUCUCUUGGUUCUGGCAUCGAUGAAGAACGCAGCGAAAUGCGAUAAGUAAUGUGAAUUGCAGAAUUCAGUGAAUCAUCGAAUCUUUGAACGCACAUUGCGCUCGCCAGUAUUCUGGCGAGCAUGCCUGUCCGAGCGUCAUUUCAACCCUCAGGCCCCGUUCGCGGGAUCUGGUGUUGGGGAUCGGCCGUCCUACGCGGCGGCCGGCCCUGAAAUGGAGUGGCGGUCUCGUCGCGACCUCCUCUGUGUAGUAGUUAUACCUCGCAGCUGGAUAGCGGCGCGGCCACGCCGUAAAACCCCCUACUUCUCAAGGUUGACCUCGGAUCAGAUAGGAAUACCCGCUGAACUUAAGCAUAUCAAUAAGCGGAGGA
rnacentral:misc_RNA from 1 species